AGCGAACGCUGGCGGCAGGCUUAACACAUGCAAGUCGAGCGGGCACUUUCGGGUGUCAGCGGCUGACGGGUGGGUAACGCGGGGGAACGUGCCCUCUGGUUCGGAAUAACUCAGGGAAACUUGAGCUAAUACCGGAUACGCCCUUUUGGGGAAAGGCUUGCUGCCGGAGGAUCGGGCCGCGUCUGAUUAGCUAGUUGGUUAGGUAACGGCUCACCAAGGCGACGAUCAGUAGCUGGGCUGAGAGGAUGAUCAGCGACACUGGGAAUAAGACACGGCCCAGACUCGGACGGGAGGCAGCAGAGGGGAAUAUUGGAGGAUGGGCGCAAGCCUGAUACAGCCAUGCCGGGUAAGUGAUGAAGGCCGUAGGGUUGUAAAGCUCUUUUAUCCGGGACGAUAAUGACGGUACCGGAGGAAUAAGCCCCGGCUAACUUCGUG
rnacentral:rRNA from 1 species